rnacentral:rRNA from 1 species
UACGGAGGGUGCAAACGUUGCUCGGAAUCAUUGGGCGUAAAGCGCACGUAGGCGGUCGAAUAAGUCGGAUGUGAAAGCCCAGGGCUCAACCCUGGAAGUGCAUUCGAAACUGCUCGGCUUGAAUAUGGAAGAGGGUCGCGGAAUUCCCGGUGUAGAGGUGAAAUUCGUAGAUAUCGGGAGGAACACCAGUGGCGAAGGCGGCGACCUGGGCCAAUAUUGACGCUGAGGUGCGAAAGCGUGGGGAGCAAACAGG